GUACGCGGCAAAACCGCCGCGCGGCUUCAGCUUUUCUCUUGUAUUAGAAGCGUUUUGUGCAGCAUUUAGUGCAAAUGUGUGUAUCUUCAAUGGCGCCUGCCAUGAAGUGCCGUGUCCUUAAAAGGAAUAGGAUUUUGGGUGCAGGAGCAAGGCGUGUGGACCAACUCCGCUUCACUUCUGUAACCGCCCCCGUUUUGCCGCUUUCCACAUGUCUCCUAUUGAAAAAGAACUAAACACUUGCGGUUGCCGCGUACCGUGUGAAACGGCCUUCAGUUAUACGUUACAUUAACGUACAUCGUGGUGGCAACAGUUUACUACGCUUGUGCUUUCUAUUUAACUAAAACAAGGAAUCACAUUAUUACAGCGUGGCCUCGAGUUAAUUAAAAUGAUUUACAGAAUUUAUUAAAACGGUCUUUCACAAAGCCUCGUUUAUACAGUAUAUACGGUAUACAUCGCGUCGCUUUAAAACAUAUAUAUAACAUUAAAUACGGUGCAGUCUACGGUCACGUCUUUACAAUGUGAUCUUCCACAUCUGUAAAUUGUGAUAUUACAACGUGCAUCCAUCCAUACAGCUGUUUUUUUUACAACAAUUUACAAUGCCAAAUGCUUUUGCAUGUUCCAGGUAAAAUGUUGGUCCAGAUCAAGUACAAGCAACAGCAGAAGUAUGUGAAGCUGGAUUCCAUUGAAGGGAGAUUUGACUUUAUGCAAUUUCACGCUAAAGUCAUUGAGAGAUUUUACUUGCCACCUGAUGCAAAAGUUACAUACAAGGAUGCAACAGGGACUGAAGUUGAUGCAGAAAUAUUCAGCGAUCUCAUUGGACAAGGCAAUGUGGUGCUGACUGUUUUCUCAAAUGAUGAAUUUUCAGACUCUUUGUCUUCCAUAUCUGAGACGUCUGACAGUUGCAACUGUUCAAGUGCAUCAACUGUAAUCUUAGAUGAGGUCCCUAACAAGAGACAAAGAAAAGAGGACACAUCUGCACUGUCUGCAAAACAGUUGGUCGAGGAUGUUCUAAAGUUGAAGUCUGGUGGUGAAGCAGUAUUACAGGAGUAUCAAGAAACGGAAACCCUUACAGGUGCCGCAAGACGACAAAUGAUCAACAUACUGGUGCCUCACAUGAUUGAUACACAUGUGUAUUUUUUAUUUUUUUUUAAACAAAUAACUGCAUGACCAUUGUAUUAAUUAAGACCAAUUUUAUAUCUUCCCUUAGGCAACUCCUUACUAAAGCUAUCAGAGAACAGUAUGCUCUUGGCAUAGUGAUGCUGUUCCUGUUGUGGUUUUCCUUUUCCUCAAAUGAAACAAUCUUCAGUCUUAGGUUUUGAUUUCAAGAGAUAGACUUUUAUUUUCCGGAUAAAUGAAAAGCCGAGGCAGCCCUGGUGAAUCCCCCAGAACCAGAGUGUGGUCCUGGGAGGAUCCUCCAAAAUCCGUCUCACCUGCUGAGCCCUGGCUCGGUAAAUAUAUAGGUUUUUGUUCCCUCCCCUCCAUGGUUCAAACAAUAUGUUUCUGUUCAGGCUUGUAACUUGAAGAACCACAUGACAUUCCUCAGACCAGUGUCUCCUUCCCAUGACCUAUUUGACUCUAGGCUAUUCCUUAUACUGAGACCCUCUGUGACCUUUGACAUUAAACUAUGUGUAUAUACACAGCUGGCCUGCAUGAGUUAAGACCCCUUGUGACCUACAAACUUGUGACACACACACCGCACAAACUCAUUACACACAGUGCAUAAACUCACAUAUUAAACUCACAUAUUGCAACAGUGCAUAAACUCACAUAUUAAACUUAUAUAUUGCAUAAUGGUAACCUGAUAUUCAUGUAGAUAUAAUGGUAAACUGAUAUUCAUGUAGAGUGGGAUAUUGGGAUUAAAAUAAACUUCUUCCCUCAGAGAUCCAUACUCCAAGAAAGGCUAUGUAAGUCAUCGUCUGCAUGACCCUUUCACGUUAUAAUUGCAAUGUUAUGAUAUCUGUGACAUAGAAAAUUUGAUUCUUUUAAGGAACACUUUUUUGAUGCUGCAAGCAACACAGGAUACAUUGCUUGGCGUAUGAAAACAGUACACAGGAAGAUUAGACGAGGAUCUUUGCCACUAGACAACCUUCAUGAUGUUUCUCCAGGAGGCCCAAAAUGCCAAAGGGCUACUAAUUGUGAAGGGCAACUUGAUGGGGAUGCUUGCAAAGAGGCAAUUUCUUUGCUCAGCCAUACCACAGAGAAGUCCCUAAUAUUCCAAAAGAUGAGGGAGACAUUUCAGUAUCGCCAAAAGCUUGUUAAAGAUACAGGCUCUAGUGUUGAUAUCCUCCCCACCUUCUCGAGAUUCCUAGAUACAAAGGGCCUGGUUGAUCAAGACUUCACUCUCCUGUUUGACACCGAGACAUCCUCCAGGCUACUUCAGAAGUGGGACACGUUCUUCAGGCCAACUGUCAUUAAAGAAGCCAAGCAACUUACUUCAACAGCAGACCUGAUUCAGUUGUUGCUCUCAGCAGAAUGUCCUAACAGUAGUGACCUUCAUGAAACAAGCUCUGAAGAUGGAGUCAACAGUGAAGUGACUCAAAUUAGGCUUUACUCGUUGCUCAGCCUCCCUCAUAGUCAUACAAUGGACAAGGACAUGGUCAGCUAGAGUGGCUCGAAUUUCAUCUGAGACUGGUUGUCACCUUGCCCUACUUCUCCCUCCUCCUCUUUCACCACGUCCUCCUCCUCUUCCUACUCCUUCACCAUGUCCUCUUCCUCCUGCUUCACCACAUCUUCCUCCUUUCCCUCCUCUUCUGCUCCUCCUCUUCCUCCUCCUCCUCCUUCUCAACCUAUUUUUUCAUCAUGUCUUCUCCCUCCUCCUUCACUAUGUUCUCUUCCUCCUCCUUCACCACAUCCUCCUUCUUUCCCUCUGCCUCCUCGUCUUCCUCUCCCUCCUCGUCUUCCUUCUCCUCGACCUAUUCCUUAAUUUCUCUGUGGAUCCAUUGUUCCAAAGCUCAGUAAACUGAUUCAGGCCCUUUUAUCUAUCUAUUGAAGGAUCUGAUUGAUGUGUGUUCAAUUUUGACUCUUAGUGUUUCCACCUUGGUAAUUGUUCAGCAAAAUGAUUGUGCUUCUUGAAAAAUGACAUUAUGGUUUUGCAAUUUUAGUUCAAAAGGCUGGUUAUAGUGUUUUAGCAAUCGAGAAAAACUGUAAUAGUAAGCAGCUCUUUAUUAACAAUACUGUUUUUUGUGCCUAUAUACCAGUCUUUGUCAUGGUGCUUACUGUCUAGCCAGAGAGAGGCAAGUUGUCUUGUUGUGCCAAGGCAGACACUAUGUUGGUAUUCGGUUUUCACUGCAAUUGUAUGGUGGCGCAUUUGGUAAAGACAGUACUUCUGUACGGGAGGGACCAGGGUUCAAAUCCUGACAAGCACAGAAUUUGUAUACAAAGUGGUUUGUAUGAAGUGUAUUUUAAUGACACUUUAAGUUCAAUUAAAUUACACUUUAAGCACAUUUUAAUAUUACCUAAAAUACACUAGAAGUCAGAGUUGAAGGUACUUCCAAUGUCAUUGCAAGCAAUUUUAAGUAUGUCUUAAGCAUACUACAUCUCACUCAAAGUUUUAUUACAAUACAAUUUUAUUAUGCUUCAAACGUGUUUGAUUGUCACUAUUAGUAAAAUACUAGUAUGGCCUCAGUUUAUUAUAAGUAUAACAUGAGUGUAAUUAAAAUGUAAUUUAGUUGCAAUUGUAAUGUUAUCAAAAUAAAUUUCAAGUGCACAUUGAAUGUUCUGUUCUGUAUAUUGUCCAAAAUUAGGGUAGAUACUUAAGUUGUACUUAAGUAUACUUUGAAUAGUUCCACUUUAGCAUAAAAAAGUAUAUUUAACACAAUUUAAGUUGGACCCCAGCACUACUUUCACACAACUAAAGUGCAUUAAGUACAAAAUUAGUUGUUCCAAUUUAGCAGACUUGAAGUAUACCAAUACAUAGUGUUCAACAAAUACAUUUAGUUAUACUAAAGUACACGUGAAUAAAUUGUACUU